UCUGUGACCUUGAAGCAAGCGGAUAGACGCCACACGACAGGUUUCCAGUUACUGUAGUGUCACUCUUGUGUAGCAGUUUGUGUCAAGACAGCUGAGCACGUAUGUAGCUACCAGCCUCGCAACAGACGAGGAUGGAAGCACGGGCAUGGUGGCUCUAUCCGAGCCUUAGAGAGUGCCCUGGACGCGAACCAGUUCUUGAUUCCGUAUCCCGGGUCCCGUGCACGUUUAGCUAGCCUUUCCUGCAAGCGGGACCCACGCCAACACACUUCGGCUUCCUUCGCGACCCUUGCGAUGGGCUCGUGAUGACGUAAGAACAGGAGCUCUUUUAUCUCGGAGCAGCAGCUGGCUGGGUGUUGGAAUUGGUGUGAUCCCACUGAUCUGACUAGAAGGAGCAGUUUUCCCGUCAGAAGUGAGGACUUUGCCAUGCUGAAACGCUGACAGAGUAAGACAGUCUACCUUGCUGCUGCUUAGAUCUGCCCAGGAGCUAAGAAAAUGUUCUGAUCCUUUCCUCAUAGCUUUACAAGAGUAGGUACACCAUGUUUUCAACUCUAUUUUUAAUGCCUGAACACUGUGAACUCCACUCAAUCAUUGAUCUCUCUUGCAAGGACUUUGUUCCACUUGGGAAGAUUUUAACCCCUAAGAUAGAAGCCACUUCUGAAGCAAAGGAAAAAUAGAUUGAAAAGAAAAUUUUAAGUACAUUGGAAACACAUCUUUUACCAGGAAGCUUGUCAAAGCAGUUCACAGUGAGAAAGAGAUUGCUAAAAAGUGAAGAUCGGGUUUUCAGAACUCCUGCUAUAAAGCCUGGAUUCCACUGGAGUUUCCACUGUUUUAGUGCAUCGGGAACUGCAAAGGCUUGCAAAGGCAGCUUUGACUUGGCCAUGGUUGCGAGCACCCAGUCUGGGUAGCUUGCUCUCAUCUGCUGAUAAGCAUGCCUCACUUGUCUAACAGUAUCAGUGUAAGCCACCAAAACCUCGAGGCUGUUGGGAAGAAUUUCUUUUAAAAAUCAAAAUGUAGGAAACCUUUUAAGGAUAGAAGAAAAUAUGACAAUUCUGUUUCUUAAUUUUAGGGAUAAGUACACUCCCCUCCCCCAACAACCAACAAAACAUCCAAGUAGAAAAAUAACUGCCAGGUUAGAUAAAGGUUAGUCUGGUUGCAUAUUUCUUUUCCGUUCUAGGGGCAGAGAGAGAGACAAGACUGAGAGCUUUUCAGUGGGUGUGGCUCUGUUCUGGCCAGAGCAGAGUGCUGUCACUUCACAGCCUGAGGCAAGAGGCGAGCAAGCAGGACCGAGCUGAGCAGUCACGUAGCAGGGAGGCCCAGGUUGCACAACUCAUGAGUUUGAUGGUCACCAUUUUUAUUUUUUUACCAUGAUUUCCAAUUUCUCAAAGACUUCAUUUUGACAUGACUCUUCCGUAACUAGACUAUGAACAGAAGUUCACACAUAUAUGCAUCUUCUGAGUCCUCCUCACUGUGGCAAUGUCCUCAGGAAGCUCUCAGCACCCGGUCUCCUGCUCCUAUACCCCAGACCCAGUUGAUAGCACAGCUAUCAACAACUCCAUACACACCAAAGGGGGAACAGCAAAGACAUCCUACCAAUGAGAUUUGUACUAUCAGAUCUUUGAUUGACUUUUCUAAUGAUUCGUUUAUAAGAAAAUAAUGUGGAUAAAAUUACACAUUGAAAGUUCGACUUUAUUUCAAAAUGAUAAAUAAACUGGCAUAGUUCUGAGUCUGUA